rnacentral:misc_RNA from 1 species
AACGCACGAGACCUGCGGACCUGCGGAGGGAUCAUUAACAAGGAGAAUGAGUCUGAGAUGCUGGUCAGCGUAGCAAAGCAGUAGCUGAGCGAGCUGGUUGGCACCUCGACUCUACAUAAGCACCGUGUGUUGUGAGAGGAGGUUGGAGGGAGUAGCAGUGAGUAGCUGGGCCUAGUCGCAAGACUGGGCGAGGACAGGCCUAGUCGCAAGACUUGGUCAGAGUGCUGGGGUUGGUGGUGG